rnacentral:siRNA from 1 species
CAACCGGCACUCCAAGGACAUCA